CUACGUAGGGGGCGAGCGUUGUCCGGAAUGAUUGGGCGUAAAGGGCGCGUAGGCGGCCCGGUAAGUCUGGAGUGAAAGUCCUGUUUUUAAGAUGGGAAUUGCUUUGGAUACUGUCGGGCUUGAGUGCAGGAGAGGUAAGUGGAAUUCCCAGUGUAGCGGUGAAAUGCGUAGAGAUUGGGAGGAACACCAGUGGCGAAGGCGACUUACUGGACUGUAACUGACGCUGAGGCGCGAAAGUGUGGGGAGCAAACAGGAUUAGAUACCCUGGUAGUCCACACUGUAAACGAUGAAUGCUAGGUGUAGGGGGUAUCGACCCCUUCUGUGCCGCAGUCAACACAAUAAGCAUUCCGCCUGGGGAGUACGGCCGCAAGGUUGA
rnacentral:rRNA from 1 species